rnacentral:rRNA from 1 species
UACGAAGGGGGCUAGCGUUGCUCGGAAUCACUGGGCGUAAAGCGCACGUAGGCGGCUUUUUAAGUCAGGGGUGAAAUCCUGGAGCUCAACUCCAGAACUGCCUUUGAUACUGAGAGCCUUGAGUCCGGGAGAGGUGAGUGGAACUGCGAGUGUAGAGGUGAAAUUCGUAGAUAUUCGCAAGAACACCAGUGGCGAAGGCGGCUCACUGGCCCGGUACUGACGCUGAGGUGCGAAAGCGUGGGGAGCAAACAGG